UACGGGGGGGGCAAGCGUUGUUCGGAAUUACUGGGCGUAAAGGGCUCGUAGGCGGCCAACUAAGUCAUACGUGAAAUCCCUCGGCUUAACCGGGGAACUGCGUCCGAUACUGGCAGGCUUGAAUUCGGGAGAGGGAUGCGGAAUUCCAGGUGUAGCGGUGAAAUGCGUAGAUAUCUGGAGGAACACCGGUGGCGAAGGCGGUUCUCUGGGCAUUACCUGACGCUGAGGAGCGAAAGUGUGGGGAGCGAACAGG
rnacentral:rRNA from 1 species